rnacentral:tRNA from 1 species
GCUGAUAGCUCAGUUGGUUAGAGCGUGGUGCUGAUAAUGCCAAGGUUGCAGGUUCAAUCUCUGUAUGGGACUGCUGCA